AGCUCCCAGCGGCAAGUACACUAGGCUCUUAACUUCGCUUGUCCUCUCUGCAGGCCCUGCCGAAGCUCCCCCUGGUUUCCCGCAGCGAUCCCGCGCAGGGCUGAAGCAGUGCCUACUCAAUAGAACCAGUCAUCGUGCAAAGAAAUGCCACCUGACUCAAAGGCAAAGCCAGAGUGCAGCUUGGAGCAAAGAAGGUAUUUUAUUAAGAAUUUUACAUAAACCAUAAGAUAUAUUUUAUAUUACUUUGCGAGCCUUCUUCCUGUCUUGACUUAAUUCUUUUUGAGAGAAUUCAUUUCAUUUUCAUUUGGUUUGUUUUCUUCUUGUUACAAAGAUGAUGUAUAGAAAAUAUAGAAGUAUAAGAAAAUUAAAGAUACUAACUGAUAAUUGCUUAAUGAUUUAGUAUCUGCUUGUUUAGUCUUUGUUAUAUUUACAGUAGGCAAACAUGUCUACCGUUGUAAAUUUAUUACUGGUAUGUAUACCCUAGUAAGUUAAAAGUUAUAUGUACUUUGAAGUUUUGCAAAAUUGAGUUCAUAUUAUAGAAUUAAUUCCUGAUGAAC
ensembl:lncRNA GOLGA8M golgin A8 family member M